UUUUAAACAUACAAGAAGUUAAUAAAAAUGGAGAUUAUAAAAUAUUAGUAGCUUGAAUAAAAUAUCACUUUAUUCAUCCCUCGGUGCCUUUUUUUCAUCAAUGUUUUCAACUCUCUACUCAAACGACUCCAUCACCGCCGCCACCCUACUUCUUCCCUACUACUACCGACGUCGUUGUCUUCUUUCCACAGGACAAUAGUCAAACCUUCGAUUUCUUCCAUUCCUUUAUUCUGAAAAAUAUUUGUCUUAAUCCCCCACGCAAAUCAUCUUCCCCUAUUUGAUUCUCCUUCGUACUCCUCCUCCCAAUGAAAAUGGAUCCUAAUACAAACAACAACUCCACAAUUGCCAACACCACCAUAUCCUCAACCACUGUUGCGUCCCUCAAAUCUCAAUUCGAUAUUUUCCAGAUUACAAAAGUCUCGAGCAGAAUGUAUUCAGAUCAUACAAAUCUAAUUAAGAUUAGUAAAAUUCAUCGAUUAAGAUCCAUUAUUUUAUCUACCCAUCGAUUUUGGAAUCCAAAUAAGAAUCAGAAAGUAUUUUAUCUUUUACAAUCGAUUCCAAUCAAAUUUUCUGUCUACUAUUUUUUAUUUUGGAAGUGAAUCAUAAUCAAAAUCAAAUUUUCUGUUAUUGAUGCUUGUACUGUUGCGUUUCUUCAACUGACGCUUCAAGAUCGUUUCAUUAUUUUCUUGCCCUAGAAAUUGGUUUUCUAACCGGUACAAUUCUUCUGAUCGUGGUAGUCUACUUAACAUUCUAAACUUUAUUUCGUUUAGUUUUGUAACAUAUUCCAUUGUGUCUUUAUAUCUAUUAUAACCCAAAGGAACCAUGGUCAUUGUUAAUGGAGAUGUUCAAGCAUCUAGCACUAGCACAGUAAUCCAUAAUAGAAACAAAGUGAUUUCUGUUUUUGUCACUAAGACACACACACACAUACAGAGAGAGAGAGAGAGAGGGGAUGUUAUUAACCAUGCAAUUCGAUUUUAGUAUGAAGGAGCUGUGAUUUUUGGUGGUUGUCAAUUGAUAUUUAUGAAAAGAAGUGAGAGCAUCGAUCAAAGAAGAAAGGAGAUAAUCUAGAUUCUUGCUUUUUAUUUACCAGUACACACACGUGCAUAAAAGAAAAGUUGACGGGUUCGCGUUAGCAAGAAGGUAUUCAUAAGUCGAAGCUCAUUUAAUAUAUACAGAAGGUUGCUACCUUAUCUAACGCACAUUGGAACAAAUGAUUAUCCAAGUUUUGAGAUAAAGGCCACAACGACUAAACCACGUAAAUCAAGUACCAUUGUUCCUAUAUGGUAGCCUCUAAAUACAAGGAGUUCAAUGCAGUACAUUGUCUUAACAAUUUGGCAGAUUGUGUAUCUAAAAGCGUGCACCUACAGGGGAUCAAAUGUCCUCAACAGAAGAUAAAAGCUUAUUUUUCUCACGACAAUCACAUCGGAUGAAAAUACAUAGUGUCCCCCAUGUGAGAAGUAGCAACAAUAUUAGUUCAGAAUGGAUUAGCAAUAUAUUCUGUUAGAAUGGAUUAACAACAUAUUCUCUCAGAAUGGAUUAGCAAUGUAUUAAUGUGAGAAUGAAUUAGCAACAACAUUCUCUCAAAAUUUAUUAGUGUUUUACUUAGAUUUCAAUAUUUUUAUUUUAUUUUUAAUUAUUAUGAAUCUUUAAGAAUAAAUGUAAAUGUUAACCAUAUUAGUCGUA